rnacentral:rRNA from 1 species
GAUGAACGCUGGCGGCGUGCCUAAUACAUGCAAGUCGAGCGAACAGACGAGGAGCUUGCUCCUCUGACGUUAGCGGCGGACGGGUGAGUAACACGUGGAUAACCUACCUAUAAGACUGGGAUAACUUCGGGAAACCGGAGCUAAUACCGGAUAAUAUAUUGAACCGCAUGGUUCAAUAGUGAAAGACGGUGUUGCUGUCACUUAUAGAUGGAUCCGCGCCGCAUUAGCUAGUUGGUAAGGUAACGGCUUACCAAGGCAACGAUGCGUAGCCGACCUGAGAGGGUGAUCGGCCACACUGGAACUGGGCCGCGGUCCAGGCUCCUACGGGAGGCAGCAGUAGGGAAUCUGCCGCAAUGGGCGAAAGCCUGACGGAGCAACGCCGCGUGAGUGAUGAAGGUCUUCGGAUCGUAAAACUCUGUUAUUAGGGAAGAACAAAUGUGUAAUUAACUAUGCACGUCUUGACGGUACCUAAUCAGAAAGCCACGGCUAACUACGUG